GACGCUACGGCGUCGAAGCAGUCGAUGUCAUACUUCCAAGAAAAGCUUGCACUGUCAUAAACAAAGAAUGCCUGUACCAUAACCGACACAGGUGGGUAGGUAGAGUAUACUAAGGGGCGCGAGAUAACUCUCUCUAAGGAACUCGGCAAAAUGACUCCGUAACUUCGGGAGAAGGAGUGCCUUAUUUAUAAGGUUGCAAUAACAAGAUCCAAGCAACUGUUUACCAAAAACACAGGUCUCCGCUAAGUCGUAAGACGAUGUAUGGGGGCUGACGCCUGCCCAGUGCCAGAAGGUUAAAGAAGUUGGUUAGCAUUUGCGAAGCUGAUAACUGAAGCCCUGGUGAACGGCGGCCGUAACAAUAACGGUCCUAAGGUAGCGAAAUUCCUUGUCGGGUAAGUUCCGACCCGCACGAAAGGCGUAAUGAUUUGGAUACUGUCUCAGAGAGGGGCUCGGUGAAAUAGACUUGUCUGUGAAGAUGCGGACUACCUGCACCAGGACAGAAAGACCCUAUGAAGCUUUACUGUAACCUGAAAUUGAAAUUGGACUUUAUUUGCGCAGUAUAGGUGGGAGGCGUUGAGAAUUUUCUUGCGGGAAGAUUGGAGCCAUCAGUGAGAUACCACUCUUGUAAUGUUAGAUUUCUAACUUUGAAUCAUGAUCUGGUCAAAGAACAGUUUCAGGCGGGCAGUUUGACUGGGGCGGUCGCCUCCCAAAUGGUAACGGAGGCGCACAAAGGUUUCCUCUGAACGGGUAGAAAUCGUAUCUAGAGUGUAAAGGCAUAAGGAAGCUUGACUGUGAGACCUACAAGUCGAGCAGGGACGAAAGUCGGUCUUAGUGAUCUGACGGUGCUGAGUGGAAAGGCCGUCACUCAACGGAUAAAAGUUACUCUAGGAUAACAGGCUGAUCUCCCCCAAGAGUUCACAUCGACGGGGAGGUUUGGCACCUCGAUGUCGGCUCAUCGCAUCCUGGGGCGGUAGUACGUCCCAAGGGUUGGGCUGUUCGCCCAUGAAAGCGGUACGCGAGCUGGGUUCAGAACGUCGUGAGACAGUUCGGUCCAUAUCCGGUGUAGGCGUUAGAAUAUUGAGAGGAGCCUUCUUUAGUACGAGAGGACCGAGAAGGACAUACCUCUGGUGUACCAGUUAUCGUGCCAACGGUAAACGCUGGGUAGCUAUGUAUGGAGAGGAUAACCGCUGAAAGCAUCUAAGUGGGAAGCCCACCUCAAGAUAAGUAUUCU
rnacentral:rRNA from 1 species